CGGUGCAUCUUUGGAAAAAAUUAACUAAUUAUGGAAGUGGAUGACAAUUUUCUUCUGGCCCCAUGGCUAUGGUGUGAGUGACACAAAUUAAAUAGGUGCUAUAGUAGAGUGGCAAAAAAAUAAAAUCGAAUGCCCCUCCGUCUUCCUCCCCUUUUGUUCUCCCACAACGAACUCGGGGCUCGCACCCAGAAGGGAGAGAACUCGUCGCGACGAGGAGAGAAGAACCUGAGGUGGUCCCGAAUCAGACGCGGAAGAGGGUGGGUUCAGGAGCAAGCCAGCCUGCCGCCACCAUGAGGCGCGCCUCGAAGAAAUCCUUGUCGUCUGCCGCGACCGCUAGCGCUGGUGCGGAACAAGUAAAUGAAAAACAAAACAGAAAAAGAAAAGGAGUCAGUACAAACCUGACCAGCAGGAAAGCACAACGUGGCCCUACUAAAGCAGUUUCCAAGGAAGUAGAACGGAUUGAUCAAUUUUUCUAUACUUAUGCCGAUAACUCAUCUGUCAUGAUUGACCCAGAAGGCAUUGAAACACUCUGUUCUCACCUUGAAGUUCCCCACACCGACGUUAGGAUUCUAAUGUUAGCAUGGAAAAUGGGCUGUGAGAAGCAAGGUUAUUUUACCUUGGAUGAAUGGAGAGCUGGUUUGAAAGCUCUUCGAGCAGACAGCAUCAGUAAACUGAAGAAAGCAUUUCCUGAACUGGUUCAAGAGGUUACAAGGCCGUCAAAUUUCCAGGAUUUCUACAUAUAUGCAUUUCGUUAUUGCCUCACAGAGGAUAAGAAGAAGUGUAUAGAAAUACCAGUUGCUUGUGAGUUGCUGAAUCUAGUAUUAGGCUUGCAGUUCCGCCCUCAGGUUGACAAGCUUAGUAAUUACCUCAAGUACCAAAAUGACUACAAGGUGAUAAACAUGGAUCAGUGGAUGGGAUUUAUGCGGUUCUGUAAUGAGAUAAACUUCCCAUCACUUGACAAUUAUGAUUCAGACCUUGCUUGGCCUUUGAUUCUAGACAAUUUUGUUGAGUGGCUAAGAGAAAAUAAAAGCUAGAUCUUCUAUUCAUGUGGUGGUGAAGUUGUCAUUCAAAAUGUAAUAUUCAAGAAUUUUCUGCACCCUGGAGGAUGCCGAUUCGGCUUGUUUCCGGUUGCUUCGGUGGAGGCUGCUCCCAGAAAAUUUAAAGCCUUCUCAUGUCAUCUUUUGAUUUUGCAUAUUUUUAAAACUGGAAACGGUCUGCAUCUGUCUGUAAAAUUUGUAUCAGGAUGCUAUAUUUAAUGGCCAUGUCAUGUUAAUCAGUCUUGGUAGAGUUUUAAGAUCUUGCAAGUUGCAAAUAUUUCCAUAGAUUAUAAAUAAAAAGAAAUUAACUGGCGAGUUCA